rnacentral:tRNA from 1 species
UCAAAUCACUGAAAAAAAUACGUUUUUUUCAUCUUAGGAAAUUAAAAAUCUUAAAAAUAUUAUGCCAAUUGCAAAUUAA